rnacentral:lncRNA from 1 species
AGCUCUGGCAUGUUUUUGGUAAUUUCUGCAACUGUAUUUCUGAGUUUCUGGAGCUGUAUCUUUGCUUCCUUGUUUUAAACAGCAUGACUGGAUCCAGUAAUUGUAAUGCUUGUUAGGUUGUGCGUUUAGUUCAGUUCCACAAACAUUAAGCACCCACUGUGUACCAGGGUCCGUGCCAAGCCCAUGUAUUGAGAUGAUGAAUGGAAUUAUUUAGAUGUAAGGUAGAAUAUAUGUGUGAUCAUUUCCUCUGAAUAUACUAAGGCUUUAGCCUUCUGUAUAUUUGUAAGACAUAUUUUACAUGUACACUUUUUUGAAUGAUCAUCAAAUGUGGGAGCAAAGGGCCAGUUCAAUUCUCUGAAACUUUAAUUCUGAGGUCCUUACUUCCUUCAGCCUUCAGUCGAUAAAAAUAAAAUGCUUUAAGCUCUUUUGUCUUGGACAUUUGAAGGCAGCACAAGCUAUUAACACAAUGAUGUUGUUUCCAGUGUACAGCACUAUUAAUUGGGUCUUUGUAAUUUUCUCUAUAGGCCAAAGCUUGAUUUGAGUGUCAGCAAGUUAAAACUCAGGCACAUCCAUCUUUCCUAAGGUGGAUAUAUCCAAUGAAGGCUGGCUUGGUUUCUUUUGCACUAACUUGGCUUUACAGAAGGGCCCCAACAAAGGAGGCUCACUCUGAUUGCAGAGGUUGGGGAAGAGAUACUAGAUGGAAGCCCUUCAGGAGGCCCUUGCCAUGAUCCAGGUACAACCCAAAUACAUUCUUCACAUUUCUCUGACUUCCAAGGUGCACUUAUGUGCUUGAGGAACUUUAGAGAGUCCCAGCAUUUUGAUGAUGAACUUCAUGAGUUACUUUGUGGGGAUGCAAUGAAAGGGAAUUUUUUUUCUUUCUCUCUCUCUGUUUCUUUUUUAAUCUGAUUGAGGAGAGACAUAGGGACUGGAAGACAUUCACAUGGCUAUAAAUAAAAGUCAAGAUACAAUUGUUCAGGUAAAAACAAA